UACCAGCACCCCGAGUGGUCGGGACGAUUAUUGGGCCUAAAGCAUCCGUAGCCGGCCUUACAAGUCCUCCGUUAAAUCCACCUGCUUAACAGAUGGGCUGCGGAGGAUACUAUAGAGCUAGGAGGCGGGAGAGGCAAGCGGUACUUAGUGGGUAGGGGUAAAAUCCGUUGAUCCAUUGAAGACCACCAGUGGCGAAGGCGGCUUGCCAGAACGCACUCGACGGUGAGGGAUGAAAGCUGGGGGAGCAAACCGG
rnacentral:rRNA from 1 species